rnacentral:rRNA from 1 species
GAUGAACGCUGGCGGUAUGCUUAACACAUGCAAGUCGAACGGACUCUUCGGAGUUAGUGGCGGACGGGUGAGUAACGCGUGAGAAUCUGGCUUUGGGUUCGGGACAACCACUGGAAACGGUGGCUAAUACCGGAUGUGCCGAGAGGUAAAAGAGAAAUUGCCUGAAGAUGAGCUCGCGUCUGAUUAGCUAGUUGGUGAGGUAAAGGCUCACCAAGGCAGCGAUCAGUAGCUGGUCUGAGAGGAUGACCAGCCACACUGGGACUGAGACACGGCCCAGACUCCUACGGGAGGCAGCAGUGGGGAAUUUUCCGCCAUGGGCGAAAGCCUGACGGAGCAAUACCGCGUGAGGGAAGAAGGCUCUUGGGUUGUAAACCUCUUUUCUUAGGGAAGAACAAAAUGACGGUACCUAAGGAAUCAGCAUCGGCUAACUCCGUG